rnacentral:rRNA from 1 species
AGCGAACGCUGGCGGCAGGCCUAAUACAUGCAAGUCGAGCGGGUCCUUCGGGAUUAGCGGCGGACGGGUGAGUAACGCGUGGGAACGUGCCCUUUGGUACGGAACAACUGAGGGAAACUUCAGCUAAUACCGUAUGUGCCCUUCGGGGAAAGAUUUAUCGCCAUUGGAGCGGCCCGCGUUGGAUUAGGUAGUUGGUGAGGUAAAGGCUCACCAAGCCUACGAUCCAUAGCUGGUCUGAGAGGAUGACCAGCCACACUGGGACUGAGACACGGCCCAGACUCCUACGGGAGGCAGCAGUAGGGAAUCUUGCGCAAUGGGCGAAAGCCUGACGCAGCCAUGCCCGGCGUGAAUGAUGAAGGUCUUAGG